rnacentral:lncRNA from 10 species
GUAAAGGGAAGUCUGAAGUGUGGGAGCAACCACUGCGCAUUCUAUUGUGUCCCACAUCAGAAUAACAACUCUUACCUCCUCUCCAGCACUCGUGCUUAGGGGAGCGGUGGUGGUUUCAAAAUAGGUCCACAAAUUCUCUGCUGAACCUCCCUGCAAGAGGUGGAGCCUAAUUCCCAUCUUCUUGAAUAUGGGCUGGACUGAGUGACUCAAUUGUAACAAGGAGGACAAAGUGGAAUGAAGGUGUACAAUUCCAGGAUGAGGUCAUGAGAAGGCACAGGGGUGAAUGCCCCUUUGGAGAAGCCCCACAGAUGAGGAACCGAGGCCUCCAACCAACUGCCAGCGAGGACCCAGCAGUCAUAGACUGAGUGGGAAAUGGAUCCUCCAGCCCCAGGCAAUCCAAUGACCUGAGCCCCACAGCCUACACCUUGACUGCAAGCCCAUGAGAGACACUGCACCAGAGCCUCCCACCCAAACCAUACUGACUCCCGGCUCUCCAAAACUGUGUGAAGGCAGUGCCUCAGAGUAAAGGAGCGAUCUCCCAGCCCUGGGCCUGCACAGCUCACAGGCGGCCUUCUGUGCUGGUGACAGCCUCCCUCGUGGGUCCCCUCUCCUCACUGUUCCCAGGCCCGGUUCCAGUCACAGCCUUGCCCCUGCAGGGCCCUCCGGCUCUGGAGAAAACAGUCUGAAAAUCCCUGGGCCUUGGAUUUCCUCUGCAUGUAAGUCCCAUGGGUUGAGGGUUUGCCUGGGCAGGCUUUGAAGUGUCUGGAUUUUUCUCAGCCCGGAAGAGAAACGCUGAUGACUCAUGGGACAGGGGCAGGACAUUUGCUUGUGGAAAUCUAAGCCCUCUCAUCAGUUUGGAUCAUCCCAGCUCACCAUGGCCACAGCAGCCCCCGGGUCUGCACUGUCCCUCGGGUGGGAGCUCGUCCUUAAGGAAACAUCUGUGUCCGUGUAGGCAGCAUGUGUGAGCAUCAGCUCCAAACCACCAGGAUAACAGGUCCUAUUACGAAGCCUUCCCUUCUCUGUGGGGCUGUCUCUUCCACAUCGCCCCCCUUUAGGAAGGGGUGGGUAGGCUUCUGCAAUGAAAGGGCUGGCACCAGGUCUCUGUCUCUGACCCUGGCGUGAGCUUCCAGUGCUUUCUCUUGUGCCAGUGCUGAGCUGGAGCCCACUGAAUUAAAGAUCUGAGUUAGGGGAGCUGUGUGACCAUGAUUGCCCCCGCAUGUGCUGCUGGGAUCGGGGAGCACCUGACCCUGCUCACCUUUUCCCGUAAGAGAAGCGGGGCCAGCCCCUCAGCCCUCUCUAGUUGUUCGAAUCUAAAUGUACCAUUUAAGUCAUGGGUGAUCCCUAGAAACCCAUUUUCACUGGGUGCUUCUCAAGACUAUUUGGGAAAAGAACAGGACAGUGACUCAAAACCAGAGACUGUAUUCCCAAGCUCCCCAUGCCUCCUGUCAAACAGAAAUGAAACCAAACUAGCCACAGCCAACUGGGGGGCUCUUCCCUGCCUCAGUUUCCUUGCCUGUUGAAG